rnacentral:rRNA from 1 species
AGGGCCGAGUGAAUCCCACCCGUGUCUACAUACUCUUGUUGCUUUGGCGGGCCGUGGCCUCCACUGUGGGCUCUGCCUGCAUGUGCCCGCCAGAGGAUCAAACUCUGAAUUUAGUGAUGUCUGAGUACUAUAUAAUAGUUAAAACUUUCAACAACGGAUCUCUUGGUUCUGGCAUCGAUGAAGAACGCAGCGAAAUGCGAUAAGUAAUGUGAAUUGCAGAAUUCAGUGAAUCAUCGAAUCUUUGAACGCACAUUGCGCCCUGUGGUAUUCCGCAGGGCAUGCCUGUUCGAGCGUCAUUAUAACCACUCAAGCCUGGCUUGGUAUUGGGGUUUGCGGUUCCGCAGCCCCUAAAAUCAGUGGCGGUGCCGGUGUGGCUCUACGCGUAGUAAUUCUUCUCGCGAUGGAGUUCCCCUGGAUACCUGCCAGAACCCCCCAAUUUUUACAGGUUGACCUCGGAUCAGGUAGGGAUACCCGCUGAACUUAA